rfam:Schizopora paradoxa strain KTC8140 unplaced genomic scaffold SCHPAscaffold_00148, whole genome shotgun sequence.
GGCAAGAUGGCUGAGCGGUCCAAGGCGCUGUGUUCAGGCGAACAAUAGAUCCCCUUUCGCAGUCCGAAAGGGCGUGGGUUCGAAUCCCACUCUUGUCA